AUUAACAGGAUUAGAUACCCUGGUAGUCCACGCCCUAAACGAUGUCUACUAGUUGUCGGGUUUUAAUUAACUUGGUAACGCAGCUAACGCGUGAAGUAGACCGCCUGGGGAGUACGGUCGCAAGAUUAAAACUCAAAGGAAUUGACGGGGACCCGCACAAGCGGUGGAUGAUGUGGAUUAAUUCGAUGCAACGCGAAAAACCUUACCUACCCUUGACAUGUACGGAAGGCCGAAGAGAUUUGGCUGUGCUCGAAAGAGAACCGUAACACAGGUGCUGCAUGGCUGUCGUCAGCUCGUGUCGUGAGAUGUUGGGUUAAGUCCCGCAACGAGCGCAACCCUUGUCAUUAGUUGCUACGAAAGGGCACUCUAAUGAGACUGCCGGUGACAAACCGGAGGAAGGUGGGGAUGACGUCAAGUCCUCAUGGCCCUUAUGGGUAGGGCUUCACACGUCAUACAAUGGUACAUACAGAGCGCCGCCAACCCGCGAGGGGGAGCUAAUCGCAGAAAGUGUAUCGUAGUCCGGAUUGUAGUCUGCAACUCGACUGCAUGAAGUUGGAAUCGCUAGUAAUCGCGGAUCAGCAUGUCGCGGUGAAUACGUUCCCGGGUCUUGUACACACCGCCCGUCACACCAUGGGAGCGGGUUUUACCAGAAGUAGGUAGCUUAACCGCAAGGAGGGCGCUUACCGCGGUAGGAUUCGUGACUGGGGUGAAGUCGUAACAAGGUAGCCGUA
rnacentral:rRNA from 1 species